rnacentral:lncRNA from 1 species
UUUUUUCUAGUCAUUGUUAAGGUACUGGAAUCUAGGAUUGAGUGGACAGUCUAUGAGGGGAGCCUCUGCCUAUCCAUCAAGCAUGUCGACGGAUGUGAACUCAGGUUUUGCUAAAGAUAGAUCUUCCUGUGAUUUUAUGUGAUGAAGAAAUCAAGAAACCCAGAUGUGAAAUGGCUGCAAAGGCUUCAGUUCUUGAUUGCUGGAGGCUACGUUGCUAACCCAUUUAAUGAGUGCUUCUUGUCUCCUAUAGGUUAAGCUUUUGAACUCACAUUAAUUUCUUCUGUUUUUACAUUUCAUUAAAUGAGGCAUAUAUUUACUUUUCCCAGAUCAGAGAUUGCACCAAUAUAUUAAGGUAGGUAUUGUAUUCACAUGAUAAGUUUCAAUGUUGUGCUUUUCUAACGGCGUACCCCAGUAGUGUAGCUAUUAGUCGAUUCAACGAUCUAUUUCUAUAUAUUAUUCCCAAGAAAAAUGGAGAUGUAUAUAUGUGUGUGUAUUAUUCCUGGAGGGAAUUAAAUUUUGUACCCUAGGG